rnacentral:rRNA from 1 species
CGCAAGCUGAUUGCACAGUCUUUUUUAUUAAGACAAUAUUAAGUUAAUAUAUCUAAUAUGUAUAUUAAGAUAUAUAUAAAAUCUAUAUCAAUAUAUAUAUAUUGGAUAUAAAUUUAGUUGUGCAAGAUCAACUAUGUUGAAUAAAGUUCUAGUUAGAUUUAUGAUAAUGACAUUUUCUAACUAUGUGUCUUGACCAAAACACGUGCCAGCAGUCGCGGUAAGACGUGAAAGACUAGUGUUAUUCAUCUUUAUUUGGUUUAAAGGGUACUUAGACGGUUAAUAAAGCCCAAUAGGGUACUAAUUGACUAGAGUUUAAUGUGAGAAGGGGAGAACGAGAGAGUGGAGAGAUGAAAUUUGAUGAUACCUCUCGGACUGGCAACGGCGAAGGCAACCUUUUAUGUAAAAACUGACGUUGAAGGACGAAGGCUUAGGGAACCAAUAGGAUUAGAUACCCUAGCAGUCUAAGCAGUAAACGAUGAAUGUCAUAGAUUAGAUUUGUAAUUUGGUCUAUAAAUGAAAAUGUAAGCAUUCCACCUCAAGAGUAACGUGGCAACGCAGGAACUGAAAUCAUUAGACCGUUUCUGAAAACAGUAGUGGAGUAUGUUGUUUAAUUUGUCUGUACGCAAAAAACCUUACCACAGUCUGAAUAGAUAUUUAAAUAUCUUACAAGUGUUGCACGGCUGUUUUCAGUUAAUGUCGUGAGAUAUUGGUUAGGUCCAUUAAAUUAACGUAAACCCUUACUUUAUUUUUUAUUAUAAAGUAGUUCACCGAUACAAUGGUAAUGAUAAUAGGGAAUAAGACAAGUCAUCAUGGCCUUAGCAUUGUGGGCUAUAAACGUGCCACAUAAGCCUGUACAAAGGGAUGUC